UGGGGAAUCUUGGACAAUGGGCGCAAGCCUGAUCCAGCCAUGCCGCGUGAGUGACGAAGGUCUUCGGAUUGUAAAGCUCUUUUUGGCGGGGACGAUAAUGACGGUACCCGCAGAAUAAGCCCCGGCUAACUUCGUGCCAGCAGCCGCGGUAAUACAGAGGGGGCAAGCGUUGUUCGGAAUUACUGGGCGUAAAGGGCGCGUAGGCGGCCUGCUAAGUCGAACGUGAAAUCCCCGGGCUCAACCCGGGAACUGCGUCCGAUACUGGCAGGCUUGAAUUCGGGAGAGGGAUGCGGAAUUCCAGGUGUAGCGGUGAAAUGCGUAGAUAUCUGGAGGAACACCGGUGGCGAAGGCGGCAUCCUGGACCGGUAUUGACGCUGAGGCGCGAAAGCCAGGGGAGCAAACGGGAUUAGAUACCCAAGUAGUCCCUGAGCGGGCUGGCAAGGCGCAU
rnacentral:rRNA from 1 species